GAAAUGCGAUAAGUAGUGUGAAUUGCAGAAUUCAGUGAAUCAUCGAAUCUUUGAACGCACAUUGCGCCCCUUGGUAUUCCAUGGGGCAUGCCUGUUCGAGCGUCAUUUGUACCCUCAAGCUCUGCUUGGUGUUGGGUGUUUGUCCCCGUCUCCGCGCGUGGACUCGCCCCAAAGUGAUUGGCAGCCGGCUUACUGGUCCCGGAGCGCAGCACAUGUCGCGCAAACGAGUGCCUUGGUACGGCGGCGUCCAUAAGCCCCUCUCUCACGCUCUUGACCUCGGAUCAGGUAGGGAUACCCGCUGAACUUAAGC
rnacentral:misc_RNA from 1 species